UGGCCCAGUUGGUAGAGCAUGGCACUUGCAAUGCCACGGUUGUGGGUUUGAUUCCCAU
rnacentral:tRNA from 1 species